UGCGUAGGCGGAUAAGUAAGUCAGUGGUGAAAGCCCAUAGCUCAACUAUGGAACUGCCAUUGAUACUGUUUAUCUUGAAUAUAUAUGAAGUAGGCGGAAUGGGUCAUGUAGCGGUGAAAUGCAUAGAUAUGACUCAGAACACCAAUUGCGAAGGCAGCUUACUAAUAUAUCAUUGACGCUGAGGCACGAAAGCGUGGGGAGCGAACAGGAUUAGAUACCCUGGUAGUCC
rnacentral:rRNA from 1 species